rnacentral:rRNA from 1 species
AUGUCUGGGAAACUGCCCGAUGGAGGGGGAGUAACUACUGGAAACGGUAGCUAAUACCGCAUAACGUCGCAAGACCAAGAGGGGGACCUUCGGGCCUCUUGCCAUCGGAUGUGCCCAGAUGGGAUUAGCUAGUAGGUGGGGUAACGGCUCACCUAGGCGACGAUCCCUAGCUGGUCUGAGAGGAUGACCAGCCACACUGGAACUGAGACACGGUCCAAACUCCUACGGGAGGCAGCAUG